rnacentral:rRNA from 1 species
AAGAAGUUUGAUUCUUGCUUUGCUAUUCAUUUUGUGUUUGUUAUAUAUGUAAGUUUUUGCGUGGGUCGUGUGCGUUCUUUUGAUAGGGUCGCUUAGUUUGUUGGGUUUGUAAUUCUCAUUAUUUAUUAUUAGUAAGUCAAGGUUUCUUGUAUUUAGCAAUUUGCUUUAGUUCCGGUUAAAUUUUGUGCCAGCAACCGCGGUUAUACUUUGGGGGCUUAUGAAUGUGUUUGAAUUGUGGUAGUUAUAUUAUUUACUUUUAGUCGAUUUUAUUUAUGAGUGUUUUUGGGUGAAAUUUUUAUUUUGUUUUAUUUCUUUUAUGUAUUUUGAUUGAUGUCUACGAGGCUCAUAAUUUUAAACUAGGAUUAGAUACCCUAUUAUUUUGAGUGUUAAUUGUUUUUCUAGGUAGUAUUAGUUAAGUUCUUGAAACCUAAAGAAUUUGGCGGUAUCUUAUUCCAAUCAGAGGAAUCUGCCCCGUAAUCGAUAAUCCGCGUUGUACCUUACUUAGUUUGAUGUUUUUGUUUGUAUACCGCCGUAUAUUGAUUAUCAUUUUAGUGUUUAAAUUUUCUUGAUUCUUAAUUUGGUUAAAUUUCAGGUCAAGGUGCAGCUUUUAUCUAAGUGUGAGGUGGAUUACAUUAACUUUUUGUUUGCUGGAUUGUGCACUGUUAUUGUGUAUGUGAAAUUGGAUUUGAUUGUAAUGUUUAGAUGAAGAUUGUUUUCAUGAUAAUUGGUUCUAAGAUAUGCACACAUCGCCCGUCGCUCUCGUUACUUUAUUAAUGAGAUAAGUCGUAACAAAGUGGUCGUACCGGAAGGUGUGGCUGGAUUGAUAUAU